AGUGAAUGCUGGCGGUAGGCCUAACACAUGCAAGUCGAACGGCAGCACAGUAAGAGCUUGCUCUUACGGGUGGCGAGUGGCGGACGGGUGAGGAAUACAUCGGAAUCUACUUUUUCGUGGGGGAUAACGUAGGGAAACUUACGCUAAUACCGCAUACGACCUACGGGUGAAAGCAGGGGAUCUUCGGACCUUGCGCGAUUGAAUGAGCCGAUGUCGGAUUAGCUAGUUGGCGGGGUAAAGGCCCACCAAGGCGACGAUCCGUAGCUGGUCUGAGAGGAUGAUCAGCCACACUGGAACUGAGACACGGUCCAGACUCCUACGGGAGGCAGCAGUGGGGAAUAUUGGACAAUGGGCGCAGGCCUGAUCCAGCCAUACCGCGUGGGUGAAGAAGGCCUUCGGGUUGUAAAGCCCUUUUGUUGGGAAAGAAAAGCAGCAGGUUAAUACCCCGCUGUUCUGACGGUACCCAAAGAAUAAGCACCGGCUAACUUCGUG
rnacentral:rRNA from 1 species